rnacentral:rRNA from 1 species
ACAGGGAUUGCCCUAGUAACGGCGAGUGAAGCGGCAACAGCUCAAAUUUGAAAUCUGGCUCUUUUAGAGUCCGAGUUGUAAUUUGCAGAGGGCGCUUUGGCUUUGGCAGCGGUCCAAGUUCCUUGGAACAGGACGUCACAGAGGGUGAGAAUCCCGUACGUGGUCGCUGGCUAUUGCCGUGUAAAGCCCCUUCGACGAGUCGAGUUGUUUGGGAAUGCAGCUCUAAAUGGGAGGUACAUUUCUUCUAAAGCUAAAUAUUGGCCAGAGACCGAUAGCGCACAAGUAGAGUGAUCGAAAGAUGAAAAGCACUUUGGAAAGAGAGUCAAACAGCACGUGAAAUUGUUGAAAGGGAAGCGCUUGCAGCCAGACUUGCUUGCAGUUGCUCAUCCGGGCUUUUGCCCGGUGCACUCUUCUGCAGGCAGGCCAGCAUCAGUUUGGGCGGUAGGAUAAAGGUCUCUGUCACGUACCUCCUUUCGGGGAGGCCUUAUAGGGGAGACGACAUACUACCAGCCUGGACUGAGGUCCGCGCAUCUGCUAGGAUGCUGGCGUAAUGGCUGUAAGCGGCCCGUCUUGAAACACGGACCAAGGAGUCUAACAUCUAUGCGAGUGUUUGGGUGUCAAGCCCGAGCGCGUAAUGAAAGUGAACGGAGGUGGGAACCCGCAAGGGUGCACCAUCGACCGAUCCUGAUGUCUUCGGAAGGAUUUGAGUAAGAGCAUGGCUGUUGGGACCCGAAAGAUGGUGAACUAUGCUUGAAUAGGGUGAAGCCAGAGGAAACUCUGGUGGAGGCUCGCAGCGGUUCUGACGUGCAAAUCGAUCGUCAAAUUGGGCAUAGGGGCGAAAGACUAAU